UACGUAGGGCGCAAGCGUUGUCCGGAAUUAUUGGGCGUAAAGAGCUCGUAGGCGGCCUGUUGCGUCCGCUGUGAAAUCCCGGGGCUCAACCCCGGGCCUGCAGUGGAUACGGGCUGGCUAGAGGCAGGCAGGGGAGAACGGAAUUCCUGGUGUAGCGGUGAAAUGCGCAGAUAUCAGGAGGAACACCGGUGGCGAAGGCGGCCUGCUGGGCAGUAGCUGACACUGAGGCGCGACAGCGUGGGGAGCAAACAGG
rnacentral:rRNA from 1 species